ACAGGGCCCUCGCCUAAAGUUUUCCCGUGCACUGAGGCCUGCGCAGCGCUUCCCUCCCGUUCCAGUGGGCGAACAUUGCCACACAGGAGGCCCAAGAGAGCUUCCCACCUCAGCGUCUGAGUGACUGGCACUACAGACUUUAGCCUCCACCCCAGUGACGGUGCUUUUCUUGCAAAUUAUGGAUCCAAAGGACGGAGUGAGGAUGCGCCGGCGAUCCCAGCUGUCUUCAAAUCCUGGCUACAUGACCCCAUGCUGAGUCUGAGCACAGCGACUCAGAGUCCGCCUUCAGCCCCCACGUCAGGACCGUAGGAACCGGGACAGUGAGCACCAAGAGCUGACGUCAGACUUUGGCCUCUGGAGGAUGAGACUCUGUCCCAGAGGAGUGACAACCCCCGCCCCCACCCUGUGCGGGUGCGUCUGUGCUAGGGUCCAGCCCCCCCAGAACUUCGGGAAGCCCAGAGCGUGGCUUCAGAAUCCCUCACUCUGUCCUGACCCCAAAUACUCUCAAGCCCAACUGAAAGGGAAAAACUGUACCAGAAAAUUGUUCCUUAAAGAAAACUUUGUUCCUUUGAAGCUGCCUGGCUCUGCAAUGGCUUCCUGGCUUCGUAAUUACUUUCUUGACCCCUGUGACCAUGAGCAUGUAACUGAACAUGCAGGAUGCCUGACUGUAACUGAUGAUCGUGAAUCUGGCUUUGUAACCAGUGAUCUCACCCUGCUAGCUCAUCAGGAGAACUGCCAGGCUGUUCCGUCUCACUCUUGCACCUCCUGCUUGUGCAUCAUAUAAAAGCCCUAGACCACCAGAGAUCAGGGCCUGAUACUUCAGGGGUGACCCUGACCAGUGCCUGCUGACGUAAAUAAAUCUGCCUCCAGA